ACAUCGCACAAAAUAGAGAGUAA
rnacentral:snRNA from 1 species